AACCGGCCCAGGUCGGAAACGGAG
rnacentral:piRNA from 3 species